CAAGUGAUUAUGCGGACAUGAGUAACGAAUAGCCGGGCGAGAAUCCCGGCCGCCGAAAUCCCAAGAUUUCCUGGGGAAGGUUCGUCCGCCCAGGGUUAGUCGGCCCCUAAGUCCAGGCCAUUCAGGCGUAGGCGAUGGGAAGCAGGUUCAAUAUUCCUGCACCGCCGAUGGGCGAUUAAGACGCGAAGGAGUACUCGGAAAGGUAGAUCAGCCGUCGAUUGGAAGUGACGGUUCAAGCCCGUAGGGGUGUGGCCAGGCAAAUCCGGCCGCGCAACCUGAAAGGCGACGAGACGUGGAGGCUUCGGCCGAAGCGGAUUGAUCGAUCCUCUGCCGACAAGAAAAGCUUCUAGCGAGUCCAUAGGCGACCGUAUCGGAAACCGACACAGGUGGGAAGGUAGAAUAUACCAAGGCGCGCGAGAGAAACCUCGUUAAGGAACUCGGCAAUCUAGCCCCGUAACUUCGGAAGAAGGGGUCCUCCCGACUGUCCGUGUAACAACAAAGCGGUUUGGAGGCGCAGUGAAAGGGCCCAGGCGACUGUUUAUCAAAAACACAGCACUAUGCCAACUCGCAAGAGGAUGUAUAUGGUGUGACACGUGACCAAUGCCGUAAGGUUAAGGCAAGGGGUUAGUCCACAAGGGCGAAGCUCUGAACCGAAGCCCCGGUGAAUGUCGGCCGUAACUAUAACGGUCCUAAGGUAGCGAAAUUCCUUGUCGGGUAAGUUCCGACCUGCACGAAUCGUGUAACGAUCUGGGCGCUGUCUCAACGUGGAUCUCGGUGAAGUUGUAACUCCGGUGAAAAUGCCGGAUACCCGCAGUAGGACGGAGAGACCCUGUGAACCUUUACUGUAAUCUGACAUUGUGUUUUGGUUGAUUAUAUGUAGCAUAGCUGGGAGGCUUUGAAGCGAUCUCGUCAGGGACCGUGGAGCCGUCAGUGAAAUACCAGUUUUAAUUAACCGGAAUUCUAACCGCGGACCGUGAAACCGGUUCCGGGACCGUGUCAGAGGGUCAGUUUGACUGGGGCGGUUUCCUCCAAAAGGAUAACGGAGGAGUUCUAAGGUCACCUCAGCACGGUCGGCAAUCGUGCGUAGAGCGUAUAGGUAGAAGGUGGCUUGACUGCGAGACCCACAAGUCGAGCAGGUGCGAAAGCAGGACUAAGUGAUCCGGCGGUUGCUAGUGGUAGCGCCGUCGCUCAACGGACAAAAGGUACUCCGGGGAUAACAGGCUGAUCGCCGCCAAGAGUCCAUAUCGACGCGGCGGUUUGGCACCUCGAUGUCGGCUCAUCACAUCCUGGGGCUGAAGAAGGUCCCAAGGGUU
rnacentral:rRNA from 1 species